rnacentral:rRNA from 1 species
GACGAACGCUGGCGGCGUGCUUAACACAUGCAAGUCGAACGGAAAGGCCCUGCUUUUGUGGGGUGCUCGAGUGGCGAACGGGUGAGUAACACGUGAGUAACCUGCCCUUGACUUUGGGAUAACUUCAGGAAACUGGGGCUAAUACCGGAUAGGAGCUCCUGCUGCAUGGUGGGGGUUGGAAAGUUUCGGCGGUUGGGGAUGGACUCGCGGCUUAUCAGCUUGUUGGUGGGGUAGUGGCUUACCAAGGCUUUGACGGGUAGCCGGCCUGAGAGGGUGACCGGCCACAUUGGGACUGAGAUACGGCCCAGACUCCUACGGGAGGAAGAAGUGGGGAAUAUUGAAAAAUGGGCGGAAGCCUGAUGCAGCAACGCCGCGUGCGGGAUGACGGCCUUCGGGUUGUAAACCGCUUUCGCCUGUGACGAAGCGUGAGUGACGGUAAUGGGUAAAGAAGCACCGGCUAACUACGUG